GCCGAAAGCCUAGUUUAUUUUCUUCCACUAACUUUUUCCUCCUCCAACCAAAACAUUUGACACGGCAAGUAGAUGAGAUCAAACGCCCCACGAAACACGACAGAAGAAGUACCGCAAGGGAAGGUGAAACAACCCACUAUAAGCCCCAAAAAGCAAAGACAAAACCUUGUACCUUUCGCAUCAUGGUUUAGCAAGACUACCCCGGCAAGACGACCCUCAGCCAGACACCCCGAAACCAAGUGAGCUACCCCCGAGCAGCUAAUUGAGCCCAUCCCCCUCUGUAGCAAAAGAGCGGAGAGACUUGCGGGUAGCGGUGAAAAGCCUAUCGAACUUGGCAAUAGCUGGCUGCUCAAAAGCGAAUUUAAGUUCAACCUUGGACUCAACCGAUUAUUCCAACAACCCGGCCCAAGGAAGCUCAUUAGAGGUACAGCCCUAAUGAGACAGGAUACAACCCGCGCCUGAAAGGAAAUUUCCCUAACCCCAACCAGUAGGCCCUAAAGCAGCCCCCCCCAAAAAUAGCGUCAAAGCAUACGCCACCCAAAUCCCAAAAAGCUUCUGAACCUUCAGCCCGACCCCUUGAGCAAAUCUAUCAGCAUAGAAGAACCAAUGCUAAAACUACUAACAAGAACCACUUCUCAAGACAUUCCCCCCAGUCAGAAACAAGGCCCCUGACAGUUAUCAGACAAACAAGGCACUCAAUUCCCAACGCCAUGUCCCACACUGUGACCCCAACACAGGCAUGUCCACCCAAGAUGAAAGAUGAAAAGCAAGAAAAGGAACUCGGCAACCACUGACUUCAACUGUUUACCAAAAACAUAGCCUUUAGCCAAAACAAGUAUUAAAGGUGACGCCUGCCCAGUGAGACACCCUUCAACGGCCGCGGUACCCUAACCGUGCAAAGGUAGCAUAAUCACUUGUCCACUAACUAUGGACUGGAAUGAAAGGCUGCAUGAAAGUCAUACUGUCUCUUCUAGCCCAUCAGUGAAACUGAUCUUACAGUCCAAAAGCUGCAAUAAAACCAUAAGACGAGAAGACCCUGUGAAACUUCAAGGACCCCCCUACCUAUUUUGCCCCUAGGGGGUACUUUCGGUUGGGGCAACCUUGGAACCAAACUAAACUUCCAAACACGAGGCCCAACAGGCCACCCACCAGGCCGACACGCCCAAGCCACACGACCCAGUAAAGCUGACAAAUGAACCAAGCUACUCCAGGGAUAACAGCGCCAUCUUCUUCAAGAGCCCAUAUCAAAAAGAAGGUUUACGACCUCGAUGUUGGAUCAGGGCACCCAAGUGGCGCAGCCACUACUAAAGGUUCGUUUGUUCAACGAUUAACAGC
rnacentral:rRNA from 1 species